UUCUAAUGCGGAGGUUAUGGAUUGGAGUCUCAUUUAGCGUAAUUUGCUUGCAAUUUAUUUCAGGUCUUGGGCGUUUGAAACUGCUUAAAAAUGCAUAAAACGAGUUAAAACAUGGAAAAGAAAAGUCCUGGAACGUGUUGGAGAGCUCGGGAGCUGAAACAGAGUUAAAAUACUGGAAAAAUAGUUUCUGGCGGCCCGCGAUACAAGCAAGAGUGUCUCUCGCGGGUGGCGAGAGACUUAUAGAUUUGAAGACGUCAUUGAGCCGGUGGCACCCCGCGACCCAUUCCCAUAUCUCUCUCGCGGGUCGCGAGAGAGUGUUUUCGCCAGAAUUCUUCGAGUUGGGCAAGGGUUUCAGCUGCAGAUCAUAUAAAACAUAUUAAACAUUCAAAAAACCCUAACUUGGCGAAUUAGCAAUCUUUUGGGCGAACUUGGAGCUGAGUUUGAAGCGUUUUUGAGCAUUCGAAGCUGCCGGUUGAAGGUUGGAAGUUCAGAGAAUCAUUCGGGUCGUCUACCUAACAUCCGGGUGUUUUCGCUUGUGUUUCUUUCUCUUUGACUAUGCUUUGUUUCUCUAAAAAUACUUUGUUUAUGCUUGGUUCCAUGAAUGUGAUCGGCUAGAUUUAAUUAACUACCUAGACAAGAUGAAUGGUUGCAUAAAGUUUGGAUUUUUAUUAUGAAUUUAUAAUAUUUAUGGAUUUAUU
rnacentral:lncRNA from 1 species